UACGUAGGGGGCUAGCGUUGUCCGGAUUUAUUGGGUUUAAAGGGUGCGUAGGCGGCUUUGUAAGUCAGUGGUGAAAUAUGGCAGCUUAACUGUCAGGGUGCCAUUGAUACUGCAGAGCUUGAGUACAGAUGAGGUAGGCGGAAUUGACGGUGUAGCGGUGAAAUGCUUAGAUAUCGUCAAGAACACCUAUAGCGAAGGCAGCUUACUAGGCUGUAACUGACGCUGAGGCACGAAAGUGUGGGGAUCAAACAGG
rnacentral:rRNA from 1 species